GACGAACGCUGGCGGCGUGCUUAACACAUGCAAGCCGAACGAAGAGCGACGGAAGCUUGCUUCUAUCAAUCUUAGUGGCGAACGGGUGAGUAACGCGCAAUCAACCUGCCCUUCAGAGGGGGACAACAGUUGGAAACGACUGCUAAUACCGCAUACGAUCUAACCUCGGCAUCGAGGAUAGAUGAAAGGUGGCCUCUACAUGUAAGCUAUCACUGAAGGAGGGGAGUGCGUCUGAUUAGCGAGUUGGAGGGGUAAGGGCCCACCAAGGCGAGGAUUCGUAGCCGGGCUGAGAGGGAGGACGGCCACAAUGGGACUGGGGCACCGCCCAGACUUCUUAGGGGAGCAGCAGUGGGGGAUUUUCCGACAUGGACGACAGUCUGACGGCACAACGCCCCGUUGGUGAUGACGGCCUUCGGGUUGUUAAGCUCUGUUAAUCGGGACGGAAGGGCUUCUUGCGAAUAGUGAGAAGGAUUGACGGUACCGGAAUAGAAAGCCCCGGCUAACUACGUG
rnacentral:rRNA from 1 species